UACGAAGGGGGGCUAGCGUUGCUCGGAAUCACUGGGCGUAAAGCGCACGUAGGCGGCUUUUUUAAGUCAGGGGUGAAAUCCUGGAGCUUAACUCCAGAACUGCCUUUGAUACUGAGAAGCUAGAGUCCGGAAGAGGUGAGUGGAACUGCGAGUGUAGAGGUGAAAUUCGUAGAUAUUCGCAAAGAACACCAGUGGCGAAGGCGGCUCACUGGUCCGGUACUGACGCUGAGGUGCGAAAAGCGUGGGGGAGCAAACAGG
rnacentral:rRNA from 1 species